GCAAGUCGAACGGAAAGUGCUCUUCGGAGUGACUCGAGUGGCGAACGGGUGAGUAACACGUGGGUGAUCUGCCCUGCACUUUGGGAUAAGCCUGGGAAACUGGGUCUAAUACCGGAUAGGACCACGGCCUUCAUGGGUUGUGGUGGAAAGCUUUUGCGGUGUGGGAUGGGCCCGCGGCCUAUCAGCUUGUUGGUGGGGUAAUGGCCUACCAAGGCGACGACGGGUAGCCGGCCUGAGAGGGUGUCCGGCCACACUGGGACUGAGAUACGGCCCAGACUCCUACGGGAGGCAGCAGUGGGGAAUAUUGCACAAUGGGCGCAAGCCUGAUGCAGCGACGCCGCGUGAGGGAUGACGGCCUUCGGGUUGUAAACCUCUUUCAGUAGGGACGAAGCGCAAGUGACGGUACCUAUAGAAGAAGCACCGGCCAACUACGUGCCAGCAGCCGCGGUAAUACGUAGGGUGCGAGCGUUGUCCGGAAUUACUGGGCGUAAAGAGCUCGUAGGUGGUUUGUCGCGUUGUUCGUGAAAACUCACA
rnacentral:rRNA from 1 species